rnacentral:ribozyme from 13 species
AAGAAAGAAGAACAGAUCUGCUAAAACAUGCAACACCACGACCAAAAAAUCCUUUCUUUUCUUCUUCCAUCUUUUCUUCUUCUCCUCUCUCUUCUUCUUCUACUGUUUCUCUCUCUACUUCUAUGGA